rnacentral:rRNA from 1 species
CGCCCAAUAGCUAGCUCAAUCCAACAAUACCAACCCACAAUUAUUAAUACCCCUAAAAACCCCUUCCUAUUACAACAAACCAUUUUACCCCCUAAGUACGGGCGACGGAAAAGGGCCUAGAAGCAAUAGAAAAAGUACCGCAAGGGAAAGCUGAAAAAGAAAUGAAACAACCCAGUAAAGCACCAAAAAGCAGAGCUUCCCCCUCGUACCUUUUGCAUCAUGAUUUAGCAAGAAACACUUAAGCAAAAAGAACUAUAGUUUAAUACCCCGAAACUAAGUGAGCUACUCCGAGACAGCCUAAAUAUAGGGCACCCCCGUCUCUGUGGCAAAAGAGUGGGAAGAGCUCCGAGUAGAGGUGACAGACCUACCGAACCUAGUUAUAGCUGGUUGCCUGAAAAUUGAAUAGAAGUUCAGCCUUUUAAAUUCUCCUCCCACCUCCGGCCAAUCCUCCCACAGGUACCGAGAACUUAAAAGAGUUAAUCAAAGGGGGUCCAGCCCCUUUGAUGGAAAAUACAAUUUUUUCAGUAGGAUAAAGAUCAUAAUAAAUAAAGGUAAAUGCCCCAGUGGGCCUAAAAGCAGCCAUCUGAACAGAAAGCGUUAAAGCUUAAGCAUAAAACAUUCCUCUAAUACUGACAAUUCUAUCUUAAUCCCCUAAUUUUAUCAGGCUUUUCCAUAAACAUGGAAGAAAUUAUGCUAAUAUGAGUAAUAAGAAAGAUUCUGCCUUUCUCCCUGCACACACGUACAUCGGAACGAACCCCCACCGAAAAUUAACGGCCCCAAACCAAGAGGGGCUUGGAUAAAAAACAAAUUACUAGAAAAACAUCCAACACCAAACCGUUAACCCCACACUGGUGUGCUUCAUAGGAAAGACUAAAAGAAAAAGAAGGAACUCGGCAAAUACCGAGCCUCGCCUGUUUACCAAAAACAUCGCCUCUUGAAAUACAAAACAUAAGAGGUCCCGCCUGCCCAGUGACUAUAAGUUUAACGGCCGCGGUAUUUUGACCGUGCAAAGGUAGCGCAAUCACUUGUCCUUUAAAUGAAGACCUGUAUGAAUGGCAUCACGAGGGCUCAACUGUCUCCUUUUUCCUGUCAAUGAAAUUGAUCUCCCCGUGCAGAAGCGGGGAUUUUUCCAUAAGACGAGAAGACCCUAUGGAGCUUUAGGCACUAGGGCAGACUAUGUUAAGCACUCUAAAACAAAAGGCUAAACUAACUAGGCCCUGCUCAUCAUGCCUUUGGUUGGGGCGACCGCGGGGAAAUAAAAAACCCCCAUGUGGACUAGGAGUACUUGCUCCCACAGCCCGGGGCCACAACCCUGAGCAACAGAACAUCUGACCAUAAAUGAUCCGGCACAGCCGAUCAACGAACCGAGUUACCCUAGGGAUAACAGCGCAAUCCCCUUCUAGAGCCCAUAUCGACAAGGGGGUUUACGACCUCGAUGUUGGAUCAGGACAUCCUAUUGGUGCAGCCGCUAUUAAGGGUUCGUUUGUUCAACGAUUAAAGUCCUACGUGAUCUGAGUUCAGACCGGAGCAAUCCAGGUCAGUUUCUAUCUAUGAUAUGAUUUUUUCCAGUACGAAAGGACCGAAAAAAAGAGGCCCAUGCUCUAAGCACGCCUCCCCCUUACUUAAUGACAACAACUAAAGUAAGCAACAGGGCAUAGUCCACCAAGCUUGAGAAAAUAGCCU